ACAUCGCCUGAAGGUGAAUGCAGGAGAAAAGAGAAAUCGCUUGAGAAACUCGGCAUAUUUGGCAGGAUCUGUGGAGUUAAAGCAAAGGAACGAGAAGUGCAGAUACAGCCAAUGGACAGGACGUUGGCUUGUGUGAUGGUCUGGGCCUUGUUCACAACUUCCUUACAAUCCUGAGUGGAGAAGUUUCUGGACAAAGCCAUGAUGCUCCCAGAUGGAAUGUUUUCUGUAGUGCAUCUGAAAAGGUUGGUAAGGGUCCUUAUGGAAAUGCCGAAUUUCCCAAGCAUCCUGAGGAAGAAGGGGCAUUAUUGUGCCUGCUUGACCAUCGCAUCUCCGUGGGUGGUCAGGACAGAUUGUUGGUUAUUGUCACUCCCAGGAACUAGACGCUCUCGAUUGUAUCCAACUCAGCUUCUGUUUUGAUUUCUGAUUUCAAAUAUCCACAGUCCUUUUGCUAGAUAUUAUUUUCCCAGUUCCACAAUGGCGUCCUCAGUUACCAAUCAUUACGAAAAGCAAGGAACUAUUUCAAUGAUGCAUUUUUCAUAGAAUGACAUACUCAUAUAUGAAGAGGACAUGUCAACAAUCCAUGAACAUCCUUUCAGCUUGUGUUUUUUUUCUGGUCAUAGAGUCAUAGACUGAUACAGUCUGGAAAAAGGCCCUUCGGCCCAAACUGCUCAAUGCUGACUUUGUGCUAGUUCCAAUUGCCUGCAUUUAGUCCAUAUACUUCUAAACCUUUGCCAUUCCUGUUCGUAUUCAAAUGAAUUUUAAAUGUUGUUAUUGUACCUCCCUCAAUCACUCUCUCUGGCAACUAAUUCCAUUCACUCUCCGUGU